GACGAACGCUGGCGGCGUGCUUAACACAUGCAAGUCGAACGGAAAGGCCCUGCUUUUGUGGGGUGCUCGAGUGGCGAACGGGUGAUUAACACGUGAGUAACCUGCCCUUGACUUUGGGAUAACUUCAGGAAACUGGGGCUAAUACCGGAUAGGAGCUCCUGCUGCAUGGUGGGGGUUGGAACGUUUCGGCGGUUGGGGAUGGACUCGCGGCUUAUCAGCUUGUUGGUGGGGUAGUGGCUUACCAAGGCUUUGACGGGUAGCCGGCCUGAGAGGGUGACCGGCCACAUUGGGACUGAGAGACGGCCCAGACUCCUACGGGAGGCAGCAGGGGGGAAUAUUGCACAAUGGGCGGAAGCCUGAUGCAGCAACGCCGCGGGCGGGAUGACGGCCUUCGGGUUGUAAACCGCUUUCGCCUGUGACGAAGCGUGAGUGACGGUAAUGGGUAAAGAAGCACCGGCUAACUACGUG
rnacentral:rRNA from 1 species